rfam:Oryza barthii chromosome 11, whole genome shotgun sequence.
GUUUGAUCGUUCAUUUUAUAUAAAAUAUUUUUAUAAUUAGUAUUUUCAUUAUUGUUAUAUGAUAAAAUAUGAAUAAUACUUUAUGUUUGACUUAUUUUUAAAAUUUUUUUAUAUUUUUUUAAAUAAGGCGGACGGUCAAAC